GCUUCCAGAAAUUAGCCUAAGACUAAUAAUCCUAGCACGGAUCCAGCAUAAGGAAAAUGCUGCGCAGAACAAUGUUAGGAGAGCACAUACUUAAGUGACUAUGAAUUGGCUUUAUGUUUUUAUCAGUUAUGGAUGCUUCAAAUCUUUAAAAAUCACAACAUAAAGAUAGUCAAAGAAAUUAGAAAUUCACUAAGUACACUAUUGGGGAGAAAGCUGCGCAAAAUAACGUCAGAAGGGAACAUACUUAAACCAAAAGAGGUACAGGAUAUUUCCUAUCUUGUUAGAUAUCAUGUAAAAAGCUGAAGGUACAACUAAAAUGUCGUCUGUCUUCUCUUUUUAAAGUCUGCACUACUGUGGGGGAUAUGAAGGUGGGUAUGCAGAUGCAGUAGCAGGAAGAGUAUAAUCAUACGCACUAUAACCACUCUGCCCUCCAUAUGAUCCAUGAUAACUCCGCACUCCACCAACUCCAGCAGCUUCUUGCAGUGCAUAUCCAUAUUGUGGAGGAACCUACUGUGGGGGAUAUGAAGGUGGGUAUGCAGAUGCAGUAGCAGGAAGAGUAUAAUCAUACGCACUAUAACCACUCUGCCCUCCAUAUGAUCCAUGAUAACUCCGCACUCCACUAACUCCAGCAGCUUCUUGCAGUGCAUAUCCAUAUUGUGGAGGAAGU
rnacentral:lncRNA from 1 species